rnacentral:tRNA from 4 species
AUUUAAAUAGCUUAAACAUUAGAGCAUAAUAUUGAAGAUAUUAAGGUAAUAAAUAUUUUUAAAUA